AGAUUUCCUGUAUUCUUGAGAAUUAUUCUGUCAUAGAGGUAAGAGAACCAGACUGAGAGUCAGAAGACCUGAGCUCUAGUUCCAGAAGAAAGAUCUUGGGGAAGUCAUUGCAGGAUCCACCAGGAAGAAAAAAGGAUGCUACUGGCCCAAGGAGAAUGUAGAAACCUGUGGUGUCAACUUGAACCCAACUUUACUACGUAGUGAAGCCCAGCUCCUUCCAGUCAAGUCCGAGGAGCCAUAGUUGGUCACCCAUGAGUAAGAAAAUGAGCGGCAGCUGCCAUAAGCCAAGAAAAAUAUGGUUGGUGUAAGACACUGAGAGCUUUGAAGUUGAUUAAUCAAAAUUAACUAAUACUCUACACAUUUAUGAUACAUACACCAUGAGAAAAUUCAUCAAAACAAAUUUUAUGCUAAUGAAAAAUAAUAAUAACAAAAAAGGAAUCAGUGGGAAAGUUAGGAUUCCACACACUGGAACUUCACCUGCUCAAAUAAAGUAGUCAUAUAUCUA